UACGUAGGGCGCAAGCGUUAUCCGGAAUUAUUGGGCGUAAAGAGCUCGUAGGCGGUUUGUCGCGUCUGCCGUGAAAGUCCGGGGCUCAACUCCGGAUCUGCGGUGGGUACGGGCAGACUAGAGUGAUGUAGGGGAGACUGGAAUUCCUGGUGUAGCGGUGAAAUGCGCAGAUAUCAGGAGGAACACCGAUGGCGAAGGCAGGUCUCUGGGCCAUACUGACGCUGAGAAGCGAAAGCAUGGGGAGCGAACAGG
rnacentral:rRNA from 1 species